GAACGCUAGCGGGAUGCCUUACACAUGCAAGUCGAACGGCAGCACGGACUUCGGUCUGGUGGCGAGUGGCGAACGGGUGAGUAAUGUAUCGGAACGUGCCCAGUAGCGGGGGAUAACUACGCGAAAGGUAGCUAAUACCGCAUACCGCCUACGNNNNNNNGUAACGCUACCAAGCACAUCCUACUGUUAGACACCACCACUGGACUAGACACGCCAGACUCCUACGGAGGCAGCAGUGGGAAUUUUGGACAAUGGGGGAAACCCUGAUCCAGCCAUCCCGCGUGUGCGAUGAAGGCCUUCCGGUUGUAAAGCACUUUUGGCAGGAAAGAAACGUCAUGGGUUAAUACCCCGUGAAACUGACGGUACGCAGGCGGUUCGGAAAGACAGAUGUGAAAUCCCAGAGCUUAACUUUGGAACUGCAUUUUUAACUACCGGGCUAGAGUGUGUCAGAGGGAGGUGGAAUUCCGCGUGUAGCAGUGAAAUGCGUAGAUAUGCGGAGGAACACCGAUGGCGAAGGCAGCCUCCUGGGUAACACUGACGCUCAUGCACGANNNNNNNNNACCGACGUAGUCCGGAUCGAGUCUGCAACUCGACUGCGUGAAGUCGGAAUCGCUAGUAAUCGCGGAUCAGCAUGUCGCGGUGAAUACGUUCCCGGGUCUUGUACACACCGCCCGUCACACCAUGGGAGUCGGGUUUACCAGAAGUAGUUAGCCUAACCGCAAUUGGGGCGAUUACCACGGUAGGAUUCAUGACUGGGGUGAAGUCGUAACAAGGUAGCCGUAUCGG
rnacentral:rRNA from 1 species